GGCAACACCAGCGCGUCAACUCAUCUGAUCCCGAUCGGACCAUAAAAACAAAUGAAAUAAACAAAUAAAAAUACGCGCGACGAACAGAGCUGAACACAAACACCCACAUCGAUCCAACCCAAGCCACGCCUCGGCGACAGGCCGACAGCCCACGAGCGAGAUCCAACCCAAGUUCCGACGCCGCGGGCGAGACCGAUCAGAUCCACCUCAGCCGUCUCGGAUGGCGUCAGCAUCGACGGCGGUGCGGAUGCUCCCCGACGGCGGCGCUGACGACGAGGAGCGGUGGCUCGCCGAGGGCAUCGCCGGCGUCCAGCAAAACGCCUUCUACAUGCACCGCGCCCUCGAUUCCAACAACCUCAAGGACGCACUCAAGUACUCGGCGCAGAUGCUCUCCGAACUGCGCACCUCGCGACUAUCGCCGCACAAGUACUACGAGCUGUACAUGAGGGCGUUUGAUGAGAUGAAGAAGCUGGAGAUGUUCUUCAGGGAGGAGACUCGCCGGGGCAGCUGCUCUGUGGUUGAUAUGUACGAGCUUGUGCAGCAUGCUGGGAAUGUCUUACCGAGACUCUAUCUCCUGUGCACGGUGGGAUCUGUGUACAUCAAAUCGAAAGAGGCUCCUGCUAAAGAUGUUCUUAAAGAUCUCGUUGAAAUGUGCCGAGGCAUUCAGCAUCCCCUUCGUGGCCUUUUUCUGAGAAGUUAUCUUUCUCAAAUAAGCAGAGACAAGUUGCCUGAUAUUGGUUCCGAGUAUGAAGGGGAUGCUGAAACUAUUAACGACGCAGUUGAAUUUGUUCUUCAGAAUUUCAUAGAAAUGAACAAACUCUGGGUUCGGAUGCAACAUCUGGGGCCUGCCCGAGAAAAGGAAAAGCGUGGGAAGGAAAGAAAUGAACUGCGUGAUCUGGUAGGCAAAAACCUUCAUGUUCUAAGCCAGAUUGAGGGUGUUGACCUUGAUAUGUACAAAGAAACUGUUCUUCCAAGGAUAUUAGAGCAGGUGGUUAAUUGUAAGGAUGACCUUGCACAGUUCUACCUGAUGGACUGCAUAAUCCAAGUCUUUCCAGAUGAAUACCAUUUACAAACAUUGGAAACAUUAUUGAAUGCAUUUCCCCAGCUUCAGCCAAGUGUUGAUAUCAAAACAGUACUCUCUCAACUUAUGGACAGAUUGUCUAACUAUGCUGCCUCAAGUCCUGAAGUGUUACCAGAGUUCUUGCAAGUUGAAGCUUUUGCUAAGUUCAGUAAUGCUAUUGGAAAGGUGAUAGAAGCCCAACCUGACAUGCCAGUUGUUGGAGCCGUAACUCUAUAUGUAUCGCUUCUGACUUUUACUCUCCGUGUACAUCCUGACCGGCUUGAUUAUGUUGACCAAGUGCUCGGUGCAUGUGUCAAGAAACUUUCAGGCAAAGCAAAACUUGAAGAUAGCAGGGCAACGAAGCAAAUUGUUGCACUUCUUAGUGCUCCCCUAGAAAAAUAUAGCAAUAUUGUUACUGCAUUAGAACUUUCAAACUAUCCUCGGGUCAUGGAUUAUCUUGAUAAUGCUACAACCAAAGUGAUGGCUGUGGUAAUAAUUCAAAGCAUAAUGAAAAACACAACCUGCAUAUCUACUUCUGACAAGAUUGAGGCACUAUUCGAUUUAAUUAAGGGGCUGAUAAAGGAUAUGGAUGGGGCUCAAGAUGAUGAACUUGAUGAAGAAGAUUUUAAGGAGGAACAGAACUCUGUAGCACGUCUCAUUCACAUGUUGCACAAUGAUGAGCCUGAAGAGAUGUUGAAGAUCUUAUGUACUGUACAGAAGCAUAUACUUCAGGGAGGCCCCAAACGUUUAACUUUCACUGUGCCUUCUUUAGUAUUCUCCGCUCUUAAGCUGGUCAGGAGAUUACAAAGCCAAGAUGGAGAUGUCACUGGGGAGGAUGUUCCUGCAACUCCAAAGAAAAUAUUCCAGAUAUUGCAUCAGACUAUCGACGCACUUUCUUGUGUUCCUUCCCCAGAGUUAGCUCUGAGACUAUAUUUGCAUUGUGCAGAGGCUGCCAAUGACUGUGAUUUGGAACCAGUUGCUUAUGAGUUCUUUACUCAAGCGUUCAUAUUAUAUGAAGAAGAAAUUGCGGAUUCAAAGGCUCAAAUCACUGCAAUUCACCUGAUAAUUGGGACCCUUCAGCGGAUGAAUAUAUUUGGGGUGGAAAAUAGAGACACUCUCACUCACAAGACAACAGGGGUAAUGGUUCUUGUUUUAUGUCUAGUUUGGAUCCAUGAUUCUUGUUCGGUUGCAGGUGGAUUGGAGGGGAUUGAGGGGGAUUAUAUCCCUGCCUAUUUAAAAUUAAAUAGGGAGGGAUUUAAUCUCCUCCAAUCCCCCUCAAUCCACCUCUAACCAAACAAGCUCUGAUGGGAAUUGGAGGGGAUUGAGGGGGAAAUUAGUUUAUUUCCACAUCCAAUCCCCAUGGGGAAUGGGUUUAUGCAAAUACUCAGCAAAACUUCUCAAGAAGCCUGAUCAAUGCCGAGCAGUUUAUGCGUGUUCACAUCUUUUCUGGGCUGAUGACCAAGAUGGGAUAAUGGAUGGUGAAAGGGUUCUGCUUUGUUUGAAACGUGCCUUGAGAAUCGCAAAUGCUGCUCAACAGAUGGCUAGUGCUACAAGGGGAAGCAGUGGAUCCGUAACUCUAUUUAUUGAGAUUUUGAACAAGUACUUGUACUUCUUUGAGAAAGGAAUUCCGCAGAUCACAAAUACCGUGAUUCAAGAUUUGAUUGAAUUGAUUAGAACGGAGAAGCAAAGUGAUAACUCUGUAGCUGAUCCAUCUACAGAGGCAUUCUUUUCUAGCACUUUGCGGUACAUUGAAUUUCAGAAGCAGAAAGGUGGGAGCAUAGGCGAAAAAUAUGAACAGAUAAAGACGAGUUCAUGAGUCAGAACUAGCGCGGCGCCACGACUGGUUUCGAUUUUGUUGAGAAUUGGGUCGUUUGUUUGGCAUGGUUCAGUGAAAUAGAAACCAUAAGUUUUAGCUCGCUCCAUGUAAAAGAUGUUUAUACGAGCUGUUAAUUCUCAAAUCUCACGGUCUGAGCGGGUCUGUUCGCCCAUUGGCAACACUUUCAGGUUUAGUCAGGUGGCAAUAAGCUGUGUCCUUUGGGGAGCACAGGUCUGUACAGGAUUACUUGUGUUCGUGAUCAGUUCUACUGCUACCUGAAUUUCAUCGUUGUAUAUUUCCGCCCCUUAUGCGAAGCUUAUGGAUUUUAGAUCUCUGUAACAUUCGGAGUACAUGCCUUCAUUUCUGAGUUCUGACUGGACAUUGAUGAUUGUUUCA